AUUCUGGACUGGAGUGAACUGGCCGAUCAGUCGCACAGCUGAUAUUAGAGUGACGUCAGUAAAACAAAGCCAUGCGCGGUCGAUCGCAGCCGCGAAGUAAACCGAACGGACCGAACCGUCUUGCUAACAAACAUUAGGCGUCCGUGAAACCGUGAGGUACAUUUUAUACAAGAUUUCUUAGGGGAAGAUAAAAUUUGCGUGCGCGAGUACACCCGUCUCGCAUCUUUCUCGCAGACAAUGCCGUUCAUAUCGAAAGAUUGGCGUAGCCCUGGCGAGGAAUGGGUCAAGACCGUUGAAGGUUGGGAAAAGAAGAAAAUCCUCGAGUGCGCCAACAAUAAAACGCUUUCUCUCCUGCUUCGCGGCGAUAAAGAUGCGCUCGACAAAAAGGAAAAGGAUAAAAAGAAAGAAAGCAUCGUCCAGCCGCAUUGCCGCAUCACGCUAAAGUGUACACGCGAGGUCGUACAUACGACGCGUCUGUCGCGUAUGGAUCGAAAACGAAGAAAGGAGAGAGCUAAUCGAAAGACGAAGGAAAAGUGCAGUGAAACGGCGACUUGCGACUUGCGGCUUGCGGCACACGGCUUGCGGAGAUAUGGAAAGAGACCGAGGAAGAAGAUCGCUGGUUUCAACGGAUUGAGCGAUGCGCUGAAAAGGCUUGACUUUUUGUCCGCGGUACACGAUUGUCGUCGUUUCAAUUAUAUCGUACGACUGUUGGAUCUUCUGGUCAGUCACAGAAUGGGUGGACUAAGUGGAUGCGCUCAGCGGGUCCUUUUCAAUAUGCUGGAAGAAGUCGCGUUAGAAGUAUCGUUAUCGCAACAACAAACCGGAAGGCUUCGUCGUCUGAUCGAAAGGGUGCGAGCUUUUAGCGCGGGCUGUUGUUGGGGUGGUAGACCUUUAGGUUCUGUAAUUUUAUGGGAAAAGCACAAAGCCGCCCUCGAAAGAAUCUUGCAAAUUGCCUCGUCUAUCACUAUAACUCAGCCAGACGAAGAACAGCAACCGCAGUGGUCGGAUUUACCAGCCGAAUGUCGUCGAGAAGUACUUCUUCGUCUGAGCGAUCCACGAGAUAUCGAAGCUUCUUCGGAGGCUUGCGAACAUCUCGCCAUUCUCGCUCAAGAACAAAGAAUAUGGCGCGAACUCGCUCAAUAUCAUUUUACUCCACAACAAAUAGCUACCACUAGACAAAACAAUCCUGGGAAAGACUGGAAAACCAUAUUCACUAUUGCUCGAAGAUCGUUUGGUCUGCGAGAAGAAUACGCAGAGAUGAUUCAAUUGUGUCGCAACUGUCGUUGCCUGUUCUGGCGAUCGUUGGGCCAUCCCUGCAUCGCGGACCAAGAUCCAGCGUUUCAGGAGAAAUUAGCAGACGUCGAUCGAGCCUCCCUCCAUGUUCCGAUUCCUCCGCAAACUUUUUUGAAGUUUUUUUCCCUGUGAGAGCUUCGGCGCAACUUUCCUAGCCUCUUAGAAAAUAAGAAAAGCGACAAAGAUGUACGCGCGAAACCCGAUAAACGAACAGUCUAUGGUGGUAUACGCGCACCUCAUCCGAUUGCCAAAGAGUAACCUUUCAAAAAUGUUACUCUUCCUUUAAACAAAAGGUCGUGUCUUCGAAAGAGUAUCUUUAAUGCGGUCAACUUAAAGAUACUCUUCUUAACGCGUAUUACGAUCAAUCAUGAUCGAUAUUCCGGUUCGAAUCGAGUUCCAAAGUUACACAGACUUCUAGAUCCAUUUUAUCCUCUUCGAGAGAUAUCCUGAUCGAACGUACUUGUUUCAGCAACGACGAGCUACGGAUAUUUUUGUGUUCUUUCAAAUGUUGCACGCUAAGGAAUACAGGCUUAAUUUUUAAUAAUAAUUAUAAUAAUAAUAAUAAUAUGAAGAACGCAGAAUUUACGGUGAAUUGAAAUAUUGCCCAGACAAUUUACGUUUCUUGAAAAUGGCAGAACUCACUUUUUGGUCACUGCGAUAUUCGCUUUGCAAAAGCAACUUUAAAUUGUCAUUAUUUUCCUUUCUACAUAUUGUAUUUAAAGUGUAUAAAGGAAAUUGUAUUUUUAUCACGCAACAAAACUGACAUUUAUCGAAGCGUAUCGAGCGUUGACUUUUCACUCGUAUGUUACAUCGAUAAAAUAUAAUAAUUUCUCGCUUUUUACAUUGUAACUGCGAUCAUGAAACGAUCAUAUGUUUCUACUGUAAAAGAUUUAUACAAAUUUUCAUAGCGUCUGCUAUCUUUGUUUCUUCCUUAUUUGGCAGCUAUUCUAGGCCACUUUUUUUUUCUCAUUUAGACAAAUCUUAGUCUUUUCCUUUUUCUUUUUAAUGAUUACAUUUAUUUCAUGCGAUCAUCGAAAUUUCUUUCCAUGUAUGCAUUUUUAUAAAUAUUUCAUCACUUUUUAUAUAUUCCAUACGCAUCUUUUGCGUAUGUAUUUUUCUACUUUGUGAUUCUCGUAUAGCAAGAAAGCAGAAACUGUAACGAAACUUAUUUUUAAAACGGAACAUGUCAAACAAAGUUAUGAUUUGUUGAAAUAUCUCUAAAUUUCAAGACAGAAAGAGAGUGAAAUUAUCUUUUCUUUAAAAAUAUAAGCAAAUUGUACAUUUGUUAAAUAUGCGUUUACGAAAACGAAUUGAAAAAUUGAGAGAGAAAAAAACUGAUGAAACAGCAACAAAAACGGCAGCUGUAGAUUAUACGUGUUAUAAGAAGGAAGAAGCUACAUUGCUUGAUACAUUUAUCGUACCUACUCAUUCGACAUCGAUAUCAUCAAAAUUUUUAAUAUUUCACAAGUAUAUAAAUAAAUUUAGUAAUUGAUUAAGCGAUUAAUUCGGGAUGAUGAAAAUUAUACUGCCAAAAUCGAUUCUGUUGUAUUCAACGAAUCGAAUAAAAAUUCUUUUUUUCUACAUUCUGUUUAAAAUAAGAAACGAUUCUUUUGAUACGUUACUUUUUCUUUUUAACAUUAACGUAAUGUACAUUUUCCAAGUGAAAAUUUAUUACGAUCUGCUGUGUACUCAAUUUUUAGCAACUCAUAAAUUUAAUAGCUUUGUUCACAGAUUUCUUUAAUCUAUGAUCAUGGAUAACUUUAAAGCAACGUUAUUUUGUUUACGCUCACAACUGUAGAAUAAAAUUGUGCAUAAGGCUUCAAAAUAAAAGAUUUCUUUCUA